rnacentral:rRNA from 1 species
AUUGAACGCUGGCGGCAUGCCUUACACAUGCAAGUCGAACGGUAACAGGUCUUCGGAUGCUGACGAGUGGCGAACGGGCGAGUAAUACAUCGGAUCGUGCCUAGUAGUGGGGGAUAACUACUCGAAAGAGUGGCUAAUACCGCAUGAGAUCUACGGAUGAAAGCAGGGGAUCGCAAGACCUUGUGCUACUAGAGCGGCCGAUGGCAGAUUAGGUAGUUGGUGGGAUAAAAGCUUACCAAGCCGACGAUCUGUAGCUGGUCUGAGAGGACGAUCAGCCACACGGGGACUGAGACACGGCCCAGACUCCUACGGGAGGCAGCAGUGGGGAAUUUUGGACAAUGGGCGCAAGCCUGAUCCAGCAAUGCCGCGUGCAGGAUGAAGGCCUUCGGGUUGUAAACUGCUUUUGUACGGAACGAAAAGCCCCGGGUUAAUACCCUGGGGUCAUGACGGUACCGUAAGAAUAAGCACCGGCUAACUACGUGCCAGCCGCCGCCGUAA